rnacentral:rRNA from 1 species
GGUUAAGCGACUAAGCGUACACGGUGGAUGCCCUGGCAGUCAGAGGCGAUGAAGGGCGUGCUAAUCUGCGAUAAGCGCCGGUAAGGUGAUAUGAACCGUUAUAACCGGCGAUACCCGAAUGGGGAAACCCAGUGUGACUCGUCACACUAUCAUUAACUGAAUCCAUAGGUUAAUGAGGCGAACCGGGGGAACUGAAACAUCUAAGUACCCCGAGGAAAAGAAAUCAACCGAGAUUCCCCCAGUAGCGGCGAGCGAACGGGGAGGAGCCCAGAGCCUGAAUCAGCAUGUGUGUUAGUGGAAGCGUCUGGAAAGGCGCGCGAUACAGGGUGACAGCCCCGUACACAAAAGCGCAUGUGCUGUGAGCUCGAUGAGUAGGGCGGGACACGUGGUAUCCUGUCUGAAUAUGGGGGGACCAUCCUCCAAGGCUAAAUACUCCUGACUGACCGAUAGUGAACCAGUACCGUGAGGGAAAGGCGAAAAGAACCCCGGCGAGGGGAGUGAAAAAGAACCUGAAACCGUGUACGUACAAGCAGUGGGAGCACAGGUUUACCUGUGUGACUGCGUACCUUUUGUAUAAUGGGUCAGCGACUUAUAUUCUGUAGCAAGGUUAACCGUAUAGGGGAGCCGUAGGGAAACCGAGUCUUAACCGGGCGUUAAGUUGCAGGGUAUAGACCCGAAACCCGGUGAUCUAGCCAUGGGCAGGUUGAAGGUUGGGUAACACUAACUGGAGGACCGAACCGACUAAUGUUGAAAAAUUAGCGGAUGACCUGUGGCUGGGGGUGAAAGGCCAAUCAAACCGGGAGAUAGCUGGUUCUCCCCGAAAGCUAUUUAGGUAGCGCCUCGUGAAUUCAUCUCCGGGGGUAGAGCACUGUUUCGGCUAGGGGGCCAUCCCGGCUUACCAACCCGAUGCAAACUGCGAAUACCGGAGAAUGUUAUCACGGGAGACACACGGCGGGUGCUAACGUCCGUCGUGAAGAGGGAAACAACCCAGACCGCCAGCUAAGGUCCCAAAGUCAUGGUUAAGUGGGAAACGAUGUGGGAAGGCCCAGACAGCCAGGAUGUUGGCUUAGAAGCAGCCAUCAUUUAAAGAAAGCGUAAUAGCUCACUGGUCGAGUCGGCCUGCGCGGAAGAUGUAACGGGGCUAAACCAUGCACCGAAGCUGCGGCAGCGACGCUGAUGCGUUGUUGGGUAGGGGAGCGUUCUGUAAGCCUGCGAAGGUGGCCUGUGAGGGUUGCUGGAGGUAUCAGAAGUGCGAAUGCUGACAUAAGUAACGAUAAAGCGGGUGAAAAGCCCGCUCGCCGGAAGACCAAGGGUUCCUGUCCAACGUUAAUCGGGGCAGGGUGAGUCGACCCCUAAGGCGAGGCCGAAAGGCGUAGUCGAUGGGAAACGGGUUAAUAUUCCCGUACUUGGUGUUACUGCGAAGGGGGGACGGAGAAGGCUAUGUUGGCCGGGCGACGGUUGUCCCGGUUUAAGCGUGUAGGUGUGUGUUCCAGGUAAAUCCGGUUCACUUUAACACUGAGGCGUGAUGACGAGGCACUACGGUGCUGAAGCAACAAAUGCCCUGCUUCCAGGAAAAGCCUCUAAGCAUCAGGUAACAUCAAAUCGUACCCCAAACCGACACAGGUGGUCAGGUAGAGAAUACCAAGGCGCUUGAGAGAACUCGGGUGAAGGAACUAGGCAAAAUGGUGCCGUAACUUCGGGAGAAGGCACGCUGACACGUAGGUGAAGUGAUUUACUCAUGGAGCUGAAGUCAGUCGAAGAUACCAGCUGGCUGCAACUGUUUAUUAAAAACACAGCACUGUGCAAACACGAAAGUGGACGUAUACGGUGUGACGCCUGCCCGGUGCCGGAAGGUUAAUUGAUGGGGUCAGCGCAAGCGAAGCUCCUGAUCGAAGCCCCGGUAAACGGCGGCCGUAACUAUAACGGUCCUAAGGUAGCGAAAUUCCUUGUCGGGUAAGUUCCGACCUGCACGAAUGGCGUAAUGAUGGCCAGGCUGUCUCCACCCGAGACUCAGUGAAAUUGAACUCGCUGUGAAGAUGCAGUGUACCCGCGGCAAGACGGAAAGACCCCGUGAACCUUUACUAUAGCUUGACACUGAACAUUGAGCCUUGAUGUGUAGGAUAGGUGGGAGGCUUUGAAGUGUGGACGCCAGUCUGCAUGGAGCCGACCUUGAAAUACCACCCUUUAAUGUUUGAUGUUCUAACGUGGACCCGUAAUCCGGGUUGCGGACAGUGUCUGGUGGGUAGUUUGACUGGGGCGGUCUCCUCCUAAAGAGUAACGGAGGAGCACGAAGGUUGGCUAAUCCUGGUCGGACAUCAGGAGGUUAGUGCAAUGGCAUAAGCCAGCUUGACUGCGAGCGUGACGGCGCGAGCAGGUGCGAAAGCAGGUCAUAGUGAUCCGGUGGUUCUGAAUGGAAGGGCCAUCGCUCAACGGAUAAAAGGUACUCCGGGGAUAACAGGCUGAUACCGCCCAAGAGUUCAUAUCGACGGCGGUGUUUGGCACCUCGAUGUCGGCUCAUCACAUCCUGGGGCUGAAGUAGGUCCCAAGGGUAUGGCUGUUCGCCAUUUAAAGUGGUACGCGAGCUGGGUUUAGAACGUCGUGAGACAGUUCGGUCCCUAUCUGCCGUGGGCGCUGGAGAACUGAGGGGGGCUGCUCCUAGUACGAGAGGACCGGAGUGGACGCAUCACUGGUGUUCGGGUUGUCAUGCCAAUGGCACUGCCCGGUAGCUAAAUGCGGAAGAGAUAAGUGCUGAAAGCAUCUAAGCACGAAACUUGCCCCGAGAUGAGUUCUCCCUGAGACUUAAAGUCUCCUGAAGGAACGUUGAAGACGACGACGUUGAUAGGCCGGGUGUGUAAGCGCAGCGAUGCGUUGAGCUAACCGGUACUAAUGAACCGUGAGGCUUAACCUU